UACGUAGGGUGCGAGCGUUGUCCGGAAUUAUUGGGCGUAAAGGGCUCGUAGGCGGUUUGUCGCGUCGGGAGUGAAAACCAUGGGCUUAACUCAUGGCUUGCUUUCGAUACGGGCAGACUAGAGGUAUGCAGGGGAGAACGGAAUUCCUGGUGUAGCGGUGAAAUGCGCAGAUAUCAGGAGGAACACCGGUGGCGAAGGCGGGUCUCUGGGCCGAUACUGACGCUGAGGAGCGAAAGCGUGGGGAGCGAACAGG
rnacentral:rRNA from 1 species